rnacentral:rRNA from 1 species
AAUCCCCGGGCUCAACCUGGGAACUGCAUCCGAAACUGGCAGGCUUGAGUCUCGUAGAGGGAGGUAGAAUUCCAGGUGUAGCGGUGAAAUGCGUAGAGAUCUGGAGGAAUACCGGUGGCGAAGGCGGCCUCCUGGACGAAGACUGACGCUCAGGUGCGAAAGCGUGGGGAGCAAACAGGAUUAGAUACCCUGGUAGUCCACGCCGUAAACGAUGUCUAUUUGGAGGUUGUGCCCUUGAGGCGUGGCUUCCGGAGCUAACGCGUUAAAUAGACCGCCUGGGGAGUACGGCCGCAAGGUUAAAACUCAAAUGAAUUGACGGGGGCCCGCACAAGCGGUGGAGCAUGUGGUUUAAUUCGAUGCAACGCGAAGAACCUUACCUGGUCUUGACAUCCACAGAACUUUCCAGAGAUGGAUUGGUGCCUUCGGGAACUGUGAGACAGGUGCUGCAUGGCUGUCGUCAGCUCGUGUUGUGAAAUGUUGGGUUAAGUCCCGCAACGAGCGCAACCCUUAUCCUUUGUUGCCAGCGGUUAGGCCGGGAACUCAAAGGAGACUGCCAGUGAUAAACUGGAGGAAGGGUGGGGAUGACGAAUUCAUCUCCGGGGGUAGAGCACUGUUUCGGCUAGGGGGCCAUCCCGGCUUACCAACCCGAUGCAAACUACGAAUACCGGAGAAUGUUAUCACGGGAGACACACGGCGGGUGCUAACGUCCGUCGUGAAGAGGGAAACAACCCAGACCGCCAGCUAAGGUCCCAAAGUCAUGGUUAAGUGGGAAACGAUGUGGGAAGGCCCAGACAGCCAGGAUGUUGGCUUAGAAGCAGCCAUCAUUUAAAGAAAGCGUAAUAGCUCACUGGUCGAGUCGGCCUGCGCGGAAGAUGUAACGGGGCUAAACCAUGCACCGAAGCUGCGGCAGCGACGCUUAUGCGUUGUUGGGUAGGGGAGCGUUCUGUAAGCCUGCGAAGGUGUGCUGUGAGGCAUGCUGGAGGUAUCAGAAGUGCGAAUGCUGACAUAAGUAACGAUAAAGCGGGUGAAAAGCCCGCUCGCCGGAAGACCAAGGGUUCCUGUCCAACGUUAAUCGGGGCAGGGUGAGUCGACCCCUAAGGCGAGGCCGAAAGGCGUAGUCGAUGGGAAACAGGUUAAUAUUCCUGUACUUGGUGUUACUGCGAAGGGGGGACGGAGAAGGCUAUGUUAGCCGGGCGACGGUUGUCCCGGUUUAAGCGUGAAGGUGUGUGCUCCAGGCAAAUCCGGAGCACUUUAACACUGAGGCGUGAUGACGAGGCACUACGGUGCUGAAGUAACAAAUGCCCUGCUUCCAGGAAAAGCCUCUAAGCUCCAGGUAACACGAAAUCGUACCCCAAACCGACACAGGUGGUCAGGUAGAGAAUACCAAGGCGCUUGAGAGAACUCGGGUGAAGGAACUAGGCAAAAUGGUGCCGUAACUUCGGGAGAAGGCACGCUGAUAUGUAGGUGAAGUCCCUCGCGGAUGGAGCUGAAAUCAGUCGAAGAUACCAGCUGGCUGCAACUGUUUAUUAAAAACACAGCACUGUGCAAACACGAAAGUGGACGUAUACGGUGUGACGCCUGCCCGGUGCCGGAAGGUUAAUUGAUGGGGUCAUCCGUAAGGAGAAGCUCUUGAUCGAAGCCCCGGUAAACGGCGGCCGUAACUAUAACGGUCCUAAGGUAGCGAAAUUCCUUGUCGGGUAAGUUCCGACCUGCACGAAUGGCGUAAUGAUGGCCAGGCUGUCUCCACCCGAGACUCAGUGAAAUUGAACUCGCUGUGAAGAUGCAGUGUACCCGCGGCAAGACGGAAAGACCCCGUGAACCUUUACUAUAGCUUGACACUGAACACUGGUCCUUGAUGUGUAGGAUAGGUGGGAGGCUUUGAAGCGUGGACGCCAGUCUGCGUGGAGCCGCCCUUGAAAUACCACCCUUUAAUGGCUGGUGUUCUAACGUGGACCCGUAAUCCGGGUUGCGGACAGUGUCUGGUGGGUAGUUUGACUGGGGCGGUCUCCUCCUAAAGCGUAACGGAGGAGCACGAAGGUCAGCUAAUCCUGGUCGGACAUCAGGAGGUUAGUGCAAUGGCAUAAGCUGGCUUGACUGCGAGCGUGACGGCGCGAGCAGGUGCGAAAGCAGGUCAUAGUGAUCCGGUGGUUCUGAAUGGAAGGGCCAUCGCUCAACGGAUAAAAGGUACUCCGGGGAUAACAGGCUGAUACCGCCCAAGAGUUCAUAUCGACGGCGGUGUUUGGCACCUCGAUGUCGGCUCAUCACAUCCUGGGGCUGAAGUAGGUCCCAAGGGUAUGGCUGUUCGCCAUUUAAAGUGGUACGCGAGCUGGGUUUAGAACGUCGUGAGACAGUUCGGUCCCUAUCUGCCGUGGGCGCUGGAGAAUUGAGGGGGGCUGCUCCUAGUACGAGAGGACCGGAGUGGACGCAUCACUGGUGUUCGGGUUGUCAUGCCAAUGGCACUGCCCGGUAGCUAAAUGCGGAAGAGAUAAGUGCUGAAAGCAUCUAAGCACGAAACUUGCCCCGAGAUGAGUUCUCCCUGAGACCUUGAGUCUCCUGAAGGAACGUUGAAGACGACGACGUUGAUAGGCCGGGUGUGUAAGCGCAGCGAUGCGUUGAGCUAACCGGUACUAAUGAACCGUGAGGCUUAACCUU